GGUUGUUACGGUGAAAUCCCAGAGCCACCGUUUCGUUUUCCACCUAGAGGACCACGGCUCCAUUUCUGAGCCCCGCACUCACAACUGUGAACUCAACCCACGAAAUUGCGAUUGCAGACCAACUUCGUCCUUUCCAAGCCCCUUCCUCUCCUUCUGAGUUGGCCCCGCCGGCCGGGACCCUCGGAUCCUUCUUCUGCUGGGCCCUGCCUUCAGAAUGAAGGCAGAUGAGGGGCUUCCACCAACAAGCUGAGAGUACUGUGUGCCCCUAAAGGUUUCAUGCCGUCAGUGGGCUGGACGAGCGGCUCCAGGCAGCCCCCUCCUCCGCCCACUCCCCUCCCUGCUCCGGGCUCCCCCACCCAGGGCGAAACUGACAAGCCGGCUGAGGGUCCGACCCAAUCACACGCCUCAGGGGCGGCCCCGAACCCGCCCCCGUCUCCCUCAGCCCAAGAAUGAGGACUCCGGGCAGGCCCAGCCCACCAGCCCACCCCCCAUCUCCCCACUUCUCUCCUCCCUCCUCGCCAACCCAAAUCCCCGAGAAGGAAUGGGAGGGAGUUACGCGGGACGCGUGCUUGGCUCCAGCACUUUGGGAAUGAAAGGAAUUGCAGGAGAGCCCCGGAGCACACGGAGUUUUCAAGGAGCUUCUGUAUUCAAUAAAAACAGCUACUUGUCUACUUGCACCCGUCUGUUAGCCUCUCGCUGGUCGGCGGGAGAGGGGAGGAGUCCAGCGCCCGAUCAGCCACACCGCUGGAGUCAUGGGCUGGCAGCGGUAACUUUAUCCUUGUGCAAAAAUCUGCUUCCUAUGGCAGACGUGGAACCAGUGGACUCAUUGCGUUGCUGACUCCGAAAAGUGUUUUCUUUUUUUUUUUUUAAGCCGAUAAUUAGAAGAAAAGAACGAAGGUGGCAUGGAGGGACCCUAGAGGUCAAAACAUAGAGCUUGUAGGAAAGUCCUCUUUGGAGAUCUGAAACGGACAUGUUUCUCUCUUACAUGUUUAAAUUCAGCACUAGGUUCAUUCAGGGGCUUGCCUCUUAAAAGAGUUGAACUGUACUCUGAGGGAGGAGGAGGAAGAAAUGUAUGGGAGCUGACAUUAAGAGGAACCAUUAAGUUGCUGAGAAGUUUGGCCACUACAGAACUUAGGGUCUUCCUGCUGGAAGGAGGUAACCUUGACUAAAAGUAUUUGAAGAUGUACCAUAAAAUACAAAAGCUGAGUAGCGGACUCCAUAAACAGCCAAUGAAUUACUAUAUCACCCAUCACAUAGGAAUUACAGGAUGGAGUUCAGCGGCAUGAUCUCGGCUGACUGCAACCUCCGCCUCCCAGGUCCAAGUGAAUCUUAUGCCUCAGCCCCCCAAGAAGCUGGUAUUACAACCAUGCACCAUGACAUGAGGCUAAUUUUUGUAUUUUUAGUUUAGAUAGGGUUCUACCAUGUUUGCUGGUUUCUUAAAUAGUUAAAUAUAGAAUUCACAUAGGAGCCAGUAAUUUCACCCUCAAGUACAUACACAAAAGAAUUGAAGAGAUACUAAAAAAAUACAUGUAUACAUAUGUUCACAGCAGCAACAUUCACAAGAGCCAAAAAAUGAAAAUAAUCCAAACCUCUAUCAGCAGAGGAAUGGAUAAACAAAUUAUGAUACAUACAUAAAACAGAACAUUACUCAAGCAUAAAAUGGAAUGAAAUCCCAAUAUAUUACAGUAUGAAUGAAACUUCACUAUAUUACACUAAGUUGAAAGAAGCCAGAUACAAAAGGUUGCAUGUUAUAUGAUUCAUUUACAUGAAAUCUCUAGAAUAGUUAGGUCCAUGGAGACAGAAAGCAAAUGUUUUGCCAAGGGCUGGAGAGAGAGAGAGGGGAAUAAGAAGUAACUGCUUAAUGAGUAUGGGAUGUUCUUUUGGGGCAAUAAAAAUAUUUUGGAGGUAGAUAGAUGUGGUGGUUUUACAACAUUGUGAUUGUACCAAAUACCACUGAAUUUUUCACUUUAAAAUAAUUGAUUUCAUGUUAUAUGAAUCUUACUUCAAUUUUUAAAAAGCCUCUUACUAUUGGGUACACAUCUUUUUCUCACUUUGUAAAAUUGGCUCCAAUUUUUCUAGGAACACAAUAUGGCACAAAGACUAACGUACUUAUUUAACAGAAAGUACUUAAAAAACAACAGAAAUAUUGCCAGAGAUUUGGAGAAAAAAGAAAUUAAGACAAAUUGCAUUGUACCAGAGGUUUUCUGUUGAAAGAAAGAACAGAUGUUUCUAACAUGUCUCAGGUUAUGAUUUUGGUAGAUGAACUGCCUCAAUAAUAAAACAACAAAGAUGAACUUUGUUGGUGUGGUCAAUAAAAGCAAGAUGUACUGGAAACAAUUUAAAACAGUGUUUAAUAAAAAUGAUGAUUAUUGGCAAAACAGUCAAACUGUUUUAGUGUGCCUGUUAUGAAGUCAAUAAAGAAAAAGAAAGAUUCUCAGGUUACAUUGAGAAAUAUUAUAUGAAAUAUUCAUUCACCAAAUUAUUCACAAAGAAACCAUUGCAGUUAAAUAGUAGUAGAUAAAAGGUACAAGGAUGUCAUUAAUGAGAAUAACGCUACUUUUAAAAUAUAUUUAAAUAUAGUAAACUAUAAUAAACCAUCUCUUUCUCUCGUUUGCUUGCAAUGUAUGCAAAACAAUCAUUUUUGGUCUUCCGAAUAUGGAGGGAUAAUAAAACAAUAGGCCACCUGUUUUUAUAAAGUUUUAUUUGAACAUACAGAAAAUACACUUGAUAUGAUAGUUCAUAAAAUAGGAAGUAGCAAAGUAUUUAAGAGAGUGAUGAGUGUGAUGAAAAUUAUACUUUUCUGUUAUCACUCACCAAUCAUCUCAAACUUAGUAAACUUUUUUGAUGAUAAGUAGUUGUCAGUACUCUUUAACCUAAUACAUUUUAAAUCAAUUUUAACAUAUUGGAAUAUCCCUUCAAGGUUAAAAGGACAUUUAAAAAUAACUAAGAAAGCGAUAGCUUUUUAAUAGAGAGUUAUACUAUGAGGAGAGCAUUUUGAGAACAGACUUUAGAAAAUGUUUCUGCUGUUAUGAAAUGUUAAUUGCCCAAACUACAUGUAACUUAUGGUAUUCUCAUAUUGGCUUUUCCCAAAAAAUGGAAAGUGAUUUUUUACCUAUCUAAAUCUUUCAAAUAAAUAUUUUUAGUGGAUUGGAAGUCAUUUAAAAAAUAUAUAGACUCAAAACUUUCUAAAAUUUGUAAGAUUAUUUCCACUUUUAAGCAAAAUGAUUAGGUAAUGAAAGACUGAGGAGUGGCGAUCAUGAUUGAUUAUGGAGACUAGACCUUGUCCACUUACAACCAUUGAAAUCAAGGUAAACUAAAUGUGGAACUGUAUCUUUGAUGUUUUAUAUAU